rnacentral:tRNA from 1 species
GCUGUGAUGGCCGAGUGGUUAAGGCGUUGGACUCGAAAUCCAAUGGGAUCUUCCCGCGCAGGUUCAAACCCUGCUCGCAGCG